rnacentral:rRNA from 1 species
UGAUAGUACCUUUACCUGGAUAACCGUGGUAAUUCUAGAGCUAAUACAUGCUAAAAACCCCGACUUCGGAAGGGGUGUAUUUAUUAGAUAAAAAACCAAUGCCCUUCGGGGCUCCUUGGUGAUUCAUAAUAACUAAACGAAUCGCAUGGCCUUGCGCCGGCGAUGGUUCAUUCAAAUUUCUGCCCUAUCAACUUUCGAUUGUAGGAUAGAGGCCUACAAUGGUCUUAACGGGUAACGGGGAAUUAGGGUUCGACUCCGGAGAGGGAGCCUGAGAAACGGCUACCACAUCCAAGGAAGGCAGCAGGCGCGCAAAUUACCCAAUGGUGACACACCGAGGUAGUGACAAUAAAUACUGAUACGGGGCUCUUUCGGGUCUCGUAAUUGGAAUGAGUACAAUCUAAAUCCCUUAACGAGGAACAAUUGGAGGGCAAGUCUGGUGGACCCAACAGCAUUCCCACACUGCUGACGCCAGCCAAAGCGAAAAGCUAGUCGACCAUCCACUUCCCUGGUAGGGGGAUGGCGGGCAAGACAACCUGGAUCGGGGAAGGCUAAAGGAGCUUCGGUUCCUACGCUGAUCCCGAGCGGAGCGCCUCUAGAGCAAUCUUGAGAACGCCCGUGUAGAGCACGGAAAGGUGUCGGUCAUCUCUCGCAGAUGGCUUAAGGUACGUGCCGGCCCACCCGAAAGGGUAGCCUUUAACUGGAGUGCCUACCACAUCAAGGUUAAAGGGGGUGCCACCGCCGCUCGCGAGCGACGGGGGUGCCUGGGAGAUUGCCACAAAAAUCUCAGACAAGCCGGCCAGCAGCCGCGGUAAUUCCAGCUCCAAUAGCGUAUAUUAAAGUUGUUGCCGUUAAAAAGCUCGUAGUUGAACCUUGGACCUGGCUGAUCUGUCCUCCUAAUCGAGCGCACGGAUUCGGUCGGGUCUUUCCUUCUGGGGAACCCCAUGUCCUUCACUGGGUGUGGUGGGGAACCAGGACUUUUACCUUGAAAAAAUUAGAGUGUUCAAAGCAGGCCUUUGCUCGAAUACAUUAGCAUGGAAUAAUAGAAUAGGACAUCGGUUCUAUUUUGUUGGUUUCUAGGACCGCUGUAAUGAUUAAUAGGGAUAGUCGGGGGCGUCAGUAUUCAAUUGUCAGAGGUGAAAUUCUUGGAUUUAUUGAAGACUAACUACUGCGAAAGCAUUCGCCAAGGAUGUUUUCAUUAAUCAGUGAACGAAAGUUAGGGGAUCGAAGACGAUCAGAUACCGUCGUAGUCUUAACCAUAAACUAUGC